CGUCUGCAGGGAUGGGACGGUGAGGAGAAAGGUGUCUGGUUAGUGGGGCAGAUCGGGGACAUCCACGUGCAGGUCUGGACGCGGUCUUGCUCUCCCCUUGCUUAGAGGAACUACUCUGAAGUUUACUUCCCAACCAGGGAACACGAAGGGUCUAUGGCUGCUAGGGCGCCUGACAGGGGUGCCACGGACUCCCCAGCUGGGAGGCCGCCCUGUAACUCUGCAGUCGGCUGCUCCCCUCCACCCGCCCUGGAGCUCGGCCGCGAAGCGCUCUGCCAGGACUCCGGACUUCGCUGGAGCCCCCGCUCUGUCUACAAAGAACGGGCCGCGCCAGCUUCCCUGCACUCUGUGCUCGUUCUCUCGCAAAGUCACGAGAAGGCUGGCAGGGGGUAAAGUCGGGACAGCCGCACACUAAACCCCGCGUCCCAGCGGCCCGCCACACGACACGUCCCCUUCCUAAAUGCUUCUCUUGCCUGUUCUCAGAGGGCUAAGUCCAAACUUCGAGAAACUGCAGUCUAGAGACCAUUCAUUCAUUCAUUUCCUGGGAUGGGCUUCCCGGCCCCUCUCAGGUCGUUCUUGUUCCCUGAGCUCCUGUCACUGCAGCAGCGCCUCCUCCGCAUCCGCCCCUCCCCCUAGACCCCAAGGAAGGCACCUACCUGGGUCUUGGAGUACACAGAGCCCGAGAUGUCCGGCACGCCCGUGUUACUGGAGGUGCCUGCUGAGCAUGUGUACGAGAGAGUGGGCGAGGAGAGCUGCCUUUUGUGUGGCCAGGGGCCACGGCCAAACUUCACCAGCAUAUACCUGUCAAAACACUUUGGUGCCAAAGCCCAAAAGAAACGUAUUAGAUGUUUAACAUCCAUUUCUAGGGGCGCCUGGGUGGCUCAAUCGGUUAGGCCUCCGGCUUCGGCUCAG